rnacentral:lncRNA from 1 species
AGCCGAUUGUAAGCAGGCCCUGGCCUCCGACCGACCGAUCUAACAGCGCCGCUGAACGACGACGGCGGCUAGGGUUACCAGAAUGUCUGCAGGAGUCGGAAGUUUUCUGCAGAGGGGAUUUGGUUCGACACGGCAGCGGCGACGGUGGAGUUUAGGGUUCCGAUGACCCUUUUAGUACUCCGACGAGAAGCUCCAAGCCUAAAUGUCAUUUUCUCAGCUGCAAGUUAGGCGACACACAACCCUCCGACGAAGAUCCGACGAAGUUCAGAAAUUGAGGAAGGCAUGUCAAAAUUCACUGGUUGAAGCCUUGCAAAAGAUCCAAGAAGGUGUUUGUUGGUAGGAGACCGGACAUAUGUUGAGCUCUAUGAAGACCCAUAUGUUGAAGUCGAACCCAUUGUUAGACUGGUUUAUAACCCACAAUUAUGGGAGCAUAACUUAAAAAGAUGAAGAAAUGGAUGCAUCUGUAGCUUUCGGACCACUCACAAUCCUCACAUGUCGGCUUUACGGCGUGCUCUUUUUCUGUUUCCAAUUUUGGAUGUUCAGGUUUGUUCUUCGAUUUUGAGCUUUACGGCGUGAAUUUGAUUUUAUUAUUGGGUUUCUAUAUGAUUUUGACUUCAAUUGCAUGGUUUUGCUGGAAUGGAUUUGUAAUUUAGCCUCAGAUUGAUAAUUUUUUUUGUUCUUUACUCAUCUUUUUUUUUUUAUCUUAUUGGUGUUCUAUUUGUUAUAUUAGGGUUCCAGCGAACUGAUUCAAGGUGUGUGUAUGUAAUCUGAGUAGAUCAGUCUUACCUAGGACAACUGAGAGACACUAUGUGAGUCAUUUAUGACUUUAUAUCCUCCCGAUCAGAAUUCCGGCAAGCCCCUUUGGGCUUGCAUGUUUAGUAAACAGGAUGUGAGUUAAACUGUUGCUGGAAAUUAGAAGAAAAGCUUCCAGAGUAAAGUGUGUGUAUGUACUGUAUGCGACACCAAGAAGGGAGAAGGAGAGUUUGAUUUUCAUCUCUAAAAAAUUAAUUAACAAAGAAUGAAAUUAAUAGAUUAGGGUUCUUUUGUUAAAUUUGGGGAUUUUUAAAAUACACCAGAUUGUUGUGUUAACCAUGAAAAUAUGAGCUUAAAACAAUACCAUAUUGGUAAAUUAAAUCAAGUUUGGUGUAAAAGAACUAAUUAGAGAUGAAUAUGUUUAUAUGUUUUUUAAGAGGAUGCUAAGAUACAACCGAAUGCUUAAUUCCAUGACACAUGUGUACAAAGAAUGAUGAUUGUAAAUAAAUUGGUUUAUAAUAUAGUGUGUUUUGAUCUUUAAGAUCAUAUAUAGUGUGUUUGGGUAAUUUUAACCCGCUUCAAGUGUGUUUUGAUCUUUAAGAUACUGUGUUUGGGUAAUUUUGACCCGCUUCAAGUGUGUUUUGAUCUUUAUGAUCAUCUAUAGUGUGCCUGGGUAAUUUUGACCCGCUUAAAGUUUGUUUUGAUCUUUAAGAUCAUCUAUAGUGUGUUUGGGUAAUUUUGAAGAAACCAUUUGCUCCCUGAACUUUGCAAGUCGUGCGAGAGUUGUUAAGCAUGGGCCUGAGCGCAAACAAACAGAAAUCACUGAGCUCCUCAAGUAUAAGCAGCUGGCAGAGAAAGCAAAGCAUGGCGAGAAAGAAGCAGAAACAAUUGCAGGAAAGUUUACAAUCUGUGCAAAUAUGUCUCUCUCUGCUAGAGAAAACAAAGGUAGAACUCUGCAAGAAAAGUGGCGGUCAAAACGGGCCGGGUUUGAUCUACCUGCCAAAAAUAAAACAUUACUCUGAAUUUUUUGAAGUUCAACAAGUGAUAUUAAAAGGACUGAGGUAUUAUGUGUGGCGGAUGGGUUGCUUAAUGCUUUCGGCGUAGGAGCUUUUGAAGUUGGUUUGUCAGUUUUCUAUUUGCGAGGAUUUGUGUAUGAAUGUUGUUAGCCGUGGUUGAUAAUAGAUUGAUGAUUUGGUUUUAUUAUUGCUGGCUGGUUUGGAUUUUGUUUAAAUGUAUGUAAAACCGUGGCAAUGUAUGUUUCCGUUGGGGGUGUAGUAUAGCAUUUCAGAAAUAUUUA